GAUGGAAGAACGUAGCAAAAUGCGAUACUUGGUGUGAAUUGCAGAAUCCCGUGAACCAUCGAGUUUUUGAACGCAAGUUGCGCCCGAAGCCUUUUGGCCGAGGGCACGUCUGCCUGGGCGUCACGCAUCGCGUCGCCCCCCACAAUUCUCCGUAAGGGGAACUCGUGUUUUGGGGGCGGAUAUUGGUCUCCCGUGCUCAUGGCGUGGUUGGCCGAAAUAGGAGUCCCUUCGAUGGACGCACGAACUAGUGGUGGUCGUAAAAAAACCCUCGUCUUUUGUUUCGUGCUGUUAGUCGCAAGGGAAACUCUAAGAAAACCCCAACGUGUCGUCUUUUGACGGCGCUUCGACCGCGACCCCAGGUCAGGCGGGACUACCCGCUGAGUUUAAGCAUAUCAAUAAGCGGAGGA
rnacentral:misc_RNA from 1 species